CCUAACACAUGCAAGUCGAACGGUAACAGGAAGAAGCUCGCUUCUUUGCUGACGAGUGGCGGACGGGUGAGUAAUGUCUGGGAAACUGCCUGAUGGAGGGGGAUAACUACUGGAAACGGUAGCUAAUACCGCAUAACGUCGCAAGACCAAAGAGGGGGACCUUCGGGCCUCUUGCCAUCGGAUGUGCCCAGAUGGGAUUAGCUAGUAGGUGGGGUAACGGCUCACCUAGGCGACGAUCCCUAGCUGGUCUGAGAGGAUGACCAGCCACACUGGAACUGAGACACGGUCCAGACUCCUACGGGAGGCAGCAGUGG
rnacentral:rRNA from 1 species